UACGUAGGGGGCGAGCGUUGUCCGGAAUCAUUGGGCGUAAAGCGCGUGUAGGCGGCUCGAUAAGUCUGGUGUGAAAACUGGAGGCUCAACCUCCAGCUGUCAUUGGAUACUGUCGGGCUAGAGUCCGGAAGAGGAGAGUGGAAUUCCUGGUGUAGCGGUGGAAUGCGCAGAUAUCAGGAGGAACACCAAUGGCGAAGGCAGCUCACUGGGACGGUAUUGACGCUGAGACGCGAAAGCGUGGGGAGCAAACAGG
rnacentral:rRNA from 1 species